UUCUGCUGUGAAGUUUUUCUUGUAUAAAGCUCAAUUUCUCUAUGACCACUGAAGUAAACAUCCUGAUCAGUGAUACAUUCUUGCCAUGUGAAUGUUGAGACCGCGUUCAUUUUUGAAAUCUCCUUUCUGACAGACAUAUUCCACAGGAUCAGCUGAGAUGUUAUUUCACUGAAUUAUUUAAUUGAUAGGCUUAUUUGGCAUAUAUUUGGAUAUCUCUGUCAUCAACAUGGACGAUAUGUUUUGUUCCUAACUAUCUAUAAUCAAUUCUCUAUGAAGUUCAGACUGUCUGCUCUUCCUUUGGAAAUACACAGUUAGUCAACCAACAUAGAAACACACAAACUUGAAGGAUUCUCUAGUGAGGGCUUAUGGAAAUGAUCUAUGUCUACUCUCAGAAUGGUGAAAGACUUUCAGAUUAUGCAAAGACUAACAGAAUAUCCUCUCUUGGAACACUGAGACAAGAAAAUAAAACAGGAUGGGGGAUUUAAGAAGAACAGAGAUAAAUAUGAUUUCCAACGAAUUUAACCAGUACGAUCAUAGACUGUGGUUUACAGGAUGGCAAAGAAAG